rnacentral:lncRNA from 12 species
UAAAAAAUGAUAUACUAGUUUAGGGUAGUUAUCUCUAGUUUCUUAAUUGGUGGAUAAAAGAUUUUAUGGCAAAACAUGGUAUACUUUAGGAAAUACUUUAGACACCCAUCACCUUCUUAGUAGGAAAUACUUUAGACACCCAUCACCUUCUUAGAGUGUUACAAAGGCACAGUGACAUAUUAAAGGCUCUGAAAAAUUUUGUGGUAAUGUGACCUGGUUAAUUUUAUUGAUUCAAUAUUUCUUGGAUUUAUUUUUACCAAGGAGUACCCUCAUUUUUAUGUAAUAAUUUACCAAUAUGCUGUAUUGUUUGAUCAGAUAGGUUUGGGAAAUGCUGGCCUGGAGUUGCUUCUGUGGAUGAGAGAGAGGUGCUACCCCUGGUGACUUCCUUUUUGCCUUUUUUCCCCCCAUAUAAUGGGGCAGUUACCUCUCUUCCUCUUCCUGUUUCUAUUUCAUCAGUGCCAAGGUCUGUCACGUUCAGGUUUUCUAAAUGACGAAGGCUUCCGCUGAGGUUAAUUGUUUUGGUUGCUGUUAAAAAGGGGGGUAGACAGUUGUAUUUCAUUGGUGACAUUUGUUGACAAGGAGCUUUACAGGAGAUGUGAAAAAAAAACAAAAACAAAAACAACUUCCUUCAUUCCACUGCUCUUAGAAACUCUAUAAGCCAAACAUAAGAUCUUUUCUGGGUCUCUAAGUGCCCCAGCGAUGAUGUGAGCAGCAGUCAUGCAUCUGUGGCAAGCUUUUCUUAGUGAAGAUCCCAGUUUUAAAGGCAUCUACAGUCUCUACAACUUCAGUCCCUCGUUUACAACUCAUCCUUUGCAUGAAUUGAGCUUACUACUUACCUCUUCAGUUUGGCCUUGGAAUCCCUAUGUGUGAACCGGCCCUUUUGAGAAUCCUGAUGAAAUGAAGCUAAGAUCCUGGAUCUAUUCCUGUCUCUUGGCUUGGGCCUCAGAAGACCAGACCCUGUGCAGCUGAGAUGCAGUCUCUAUUACUUCCCUGGGCUAAGAAAUGGUUUAGCCACCCAAGAGAUAUGGAGGCUAGAUGCUGCUCACCAUGCCUCUGGCUGUAUUUAAGCCAAUCAACAGCCAUAUAGACUCCCUCAGAGCAUAUGCUAACUGAUUCUGGAUCAGCUUCCAGUCAGGAUCUAUCCGGUAGCACCAGGUCAAGGGAUAGUAUGUACAAACACAUGGCUAGGUUCAGUCUUUUCCCAGGAAAGUGAAUCAUCUUUAAGAGGCUUUGACUCUGAUAAGCAGGACAACUCGAUGGCUAUGUCUGGCUUUAUGGUCUAUAUCUGAAGCUUCUUGGAAUAAAAUGAUUCAUAGAAAGGUCCUAUAAUAGUGU